CAGUCUCUCCAAUGCUGGCUGUUCCAAUUUAACGGGAGAGAGGAGCAAGAGGGGUUGGGAUCAUCUUCAGGCAGAG